UACGGGGGGAGCAAGCGUUGUUCGGAUUUACUGGGCAUAAAGGGCGCGUAGGCGGCCACCGCAAGUCAAUUGUGAAAUCUCCGGGCUUAACUCGGAAAGGUCAACUGAUACUGCGGGGCUAGAGUGCGGAAGGGGCAACUGGAAUUCUCGGUGUAGCGGUGAAAUGCGUAGAUAUCGAGAGGAACACCUGCGGCGAAGGCGGGUUGCUGGGCCGACACUGACGCUGAGGCGCGAAAGCCAGGGGAGCGAACGGG
rnacentral:rRNA from 1 species